UUUAAAUUGAGAGUUUGAUCCUGGCUCAGGAUGAACGCUGGCGGCGUGCUUAACACAUGCAAGUCGAGCGAUGAAGUUUCCUUCGGGAAACGGAUUAGCGGCGGACGGGUGAGUAACACGUGGGUAACCUGCCUCAUAGAGUGGAAUAGCCUUCCGAAAGGAAGAUUAAUACCGCAUAAUGUUGAAAGAUGGCAUCAUCAUUCAACCAAAGGAGCAA
rnacentral:rRNA from 1 species